CUACACCACCGCCAACAACUACAACUACACCACAACCCAGUCCAAGUACAACACCAAGUGAAACAGCACCAACCAAGGAAGAAGGAGGUGGGUCAAUGGGAAUAAUAAUAGGAGCCGUAGUAGGCGUUGUUGCCGUAGCAGGUGCUGGAGUUGGUGGAUUCUUCUUACUCAAGAUGUUGAAAAAGCCUGUAAUUCCGUCACCAACUGUGUCACCGGCAGCCAAAUCAAAGUAAAACGCAGGUUGUGGUAUCUAUGGACAACAGACCAACCCAUCAUUACUGCAUUAUAAGUAGUUUAUUUUCCAGGAAUAGGAAAUGUCACCUACAGCUUACUUAUUAGAAGAAUAAUCUGGUUAUGAUCAUAUCUUUCCAUGUAUUAGUUAAAAUAAAAACUUUAUCCAAGUGUA